AAUAAAUAUAUUGGUUCCUGUUUUUCCUCUCUGCAGCUCCUGAGCUCCAGCUGGGUGCAGACAUGGAAUAGUAACAAGUCCAUGGGAAAGGCUCAUCUUCUCACAGCCCUUGCAGCAGCACUCUGAGCUCGGUGUGAACUUCCCAGAGCACAGAGGCAGAGCUGAAACCUUCACCAAUGCUGCCAGGAACCUUCUGCAGGGAUUAAAGCAAUAGGGUGGAGAUGAAGUGUGUGUGAACCCAAACUGGACUCCAGACCAGAGAUGAUUCAGGAGCAAAAGCAGAGAUACUCCUUCGAGUCCCCUUUUAUGUUUCAUCGCUGGUGCCUCCUCUCACAAGAGACUUCCUUGGGUUUAUAAAUGACUGCAUUUCCCUUCGGCAUGACAGCUGCAGCUUCACCUCUUCUCGUGUGAACCUGGAGUCAGCCCUGAACUCUGCUCCUGAGUCUUUGGUGCUCUGUAAUUUCCAGUUUUUCCUCAUGUAAAAUAGAGGACGAAGACAGCAAUUGAAACAAUUGCAGUAGAGAAGGUUUUCAACCUCUGCCUCUGCUU
ensembl:lncRNA